GGUUGGUCAAAGUACAAUGUUUGUUGUGGUGUGUAGUAGUCAUGUUGGUAGUCCUCUUGUAUACCCGUGUCGGGGCUAGGUGGAGGACUGGAAGAGCUCGGGACAUUGUCGUGAUGGAAGUGUUGGGAUUGGUGGAAGUGGGGGGAUUGAUAUUGUAGUAGGUGUUGGGACUGUUGAUGGUGGUGGGAAUGUUGAGUUUGGUGUUGGUAGUCUUCAUGGUAUUGGGGUUGAGUUUGUGGUAUGUAUUGUUGAUUUGGUUGGGGGUGGACAUGUGUUGUGGUGGU
rnacentral:lncRNA from 1 species